rnacentral:rRNA from 1 species
GCCUUCAUGAAGCCGGAAUUGCUAGUAAUGGCAGGUCAGCAUACUGCCGUGAAUACGUUCCCGGGCCUUGUACACACCGCCCGUCACACCAUGAGAGUUGGGAAUACCCGAAGCCUGUGAGCUAACUUUUAAGAGGCAGCAGUCGAAGGUAGAAUCAAUGAUUGAAGUGAAGUCGUAACAAGGUACC